rnacentral:rRNA from 1 species
GUACACUCCUACGGGAGGCAGCAGUGGGGAAUUUUGGACAAUGGGCGAAAGCCUGAUCCAGCAAUGCCGCGUGAGUGAAGAAGGCCUUCGGGUUGUAAAGCUCUUUUGUCAGGGAAGAAACGGUGAAAGCUAAUAUCUUUUGCUAAUGACGGUACCUGAAGAAUAAGCACCGGCUAACUACGUGCCAGCAGCCGCGGUAAUACGUAGGGUGCAAGCGUUAAUCGGAAUUACUGGGCGUAAAGCGUGCGCAGGCGGUUUUGUAAGUCUGAUGUGAAAUCCCCGGGCUCAACCUGGGAAUUGCAUUGGAGACUGCAAGGCUAGAAUCUGGCAGAGGGGGGUAGAAUUCCACGUGUAGCAGUGAAAUGCGUAGAUAUGUGGAGGAACACCGAUGGCGAAGGCAGCCCCCUGGGUCGAGAUUGACGCUCAUGCACGAAAGCGUGGGGAGCAAACAGGAUUAGAUACCCCAGUAGUCCC